rnacentral:rRNA from 1 species
UUGCUGACGCUGAGGCCCGAAAGCGUGGGGAGCGAACAGGAUUAGAUACCCUGGUAGUCCACGCCGUAAACGAUGAGUGCUAGGUGUCGGGGUCUUAAAUGGCUUCGGUGCUGCAGCUAACGCAUUAAGCACUCCGCCUGGGGAGUACGGUCGCAAGACUGAAACUCAAAGGAAUUGACGGGAACCCGCACAAGCAGCGGAGCAUGUGGUUUAAUUCGAAGCAACGCGAAGAACCUUACCAGGGCUUGACAUCCCUCGGACAGUCCUAGAGAUAGGACCUUCCCUUCGGGGACUGAGGUGACAGGUGGUGCAUGGUUGUCGUCAGCUCGUGUCGUGAGAUGUUGGGUUAAGUCCCGCAACGAGCGCAACCCUUACUCUUAGUUGCCAUCAGGUUAUGCUGGGCACUCUAGGAGGACUGCCGGUGACAAACCGGAGGAAGGUGGGGAUGACGUCAAAUCAUCAUGCCCCUUAUGCCCUGGGCUACACACGUGCUACAAUGGCUGGUACAAUGGGUUGCGAACCCGCAAGGGGGAGCUAAUCCCUAAAAGCCAGUCUCAGUUCGGAUUGUGGGCUGCAACUCGCCCACAUGAAGCCGGAGUUGCUAGUAAUCGCGGAUCAGAAUGCCGUGGUGAAUGCGUUCCCGGGUCUUGUACACACCGCCCGUCACACCAUGAGAGCUGGCAACACCCGAAGUCAGCGAGCUAACCCUUUGGGAGGCAGCUGCCGAAGGUGGGGCUGGUGAUUGGGGUGAAGUCGUAACAAGGUAACCGU